UGGGGAAUAUUGGACAAUGGGCGCAAGCCUGAUCCAGCCAUGCCGCGUGAGUGAUGAAGGCCCUAGGGUUGUAAAGCCCCUUCACCGGUGAAGAUAAUGACGGUAACCGGAGAAGAAGCCCCGGCCAACUUCGUGCCAGCAGCCGCGGUAAUACGAAGGGGGCUAGCGUUGUUCGGAUUUACUGGGCGUAAAGCGCACGUAGGCGGACUUUUAAGUCAGGGGUGAAAUCCCGGGGCUCAACCCCGGAACUGCCUUUGAUACUGGAAGUCUUGAGUAUGGUAGAGGUGAGUGGAAUUCCGAGUGUACAGGUGAACUUCGUAGAUAUUCGGAGGAACACCAGUGGCGAAGGCGGCUCACUGGACCAUUACUGACGCUGAGGUGCGAAAGCGUGGGGAGCAAACAGG
rnacentral:rRNA from 1 species